AGCUCCAAUAGCGUAUAUUAAAGUUGUUGCAGUUAAAAAGCUCGUAGUUGGAUUUCGGAAUGGGCCAGUUGGUCCGCCGCAAGGUGAGUUACUGACUGGUUUGUUCUUCUUCGCAAAGACUGCGUGUGCUCUUUACUGAGUGUACGUAGGAUUUACGACGUUUACUUUGAAAAAAUUAGAGUGUUCAAAGCAGGCUAUCGCUUGAAUACAUGAGCAUGGAAUAAUGGAAUAGGACUUUGGUUCUAUUUUGUUGGUUUCUAGGAUCGUAGUAAUGAUUAAGAGGGACAAUUGGGGGCAACCGUAUUUCGUUGUCAGAGGUGAAAUUCUUGGAUUUACGAAAGACGAACAACUGCGAAAGCACUUGCCAAGAGUGUUUUCA
rnacentral:rRNA from 1 species